AACGAACGCUGGCGGCAGGCCUAACACAUGCAAGUCGAGCGCGCACUUCGGGGUGAGCGGCGGACGGGGGAGUAACGCGUGGGAACGUGCCCUUUUCUACGGAAUACCCUCGGGAAACUGAGCGUAAUACCGUAUACGCCCUUAGGGGGAAAGAGUUAUCGGAAAAGGAUCGGCCCGCGUUGGAUUAGGUAGUUGGUGGGGUAAUGGCCUACCAAGACGACGAUCCAUAGCUGGUUGGAGAGGAUGAUCCGCCACACUGGGACUGAGACACGGCCCAGACUCCUACGGGAGGCAGCAGUGGGGAAUCUUAGACAAGGGGGGCAACCCUGAUCUAGCCAUGCCGCGUGAGUGAUGAAGGCCUUAGGGUUGUAAAGCUCUUUCAGCUGGGAAGAUAAUGACGGUACCAGCAGAAGAAGCCCCGGCUAACUCCGUG
rnacentral:rRNA from 1 species